rnacentral:pre_miRNA from 1 species
GUGUAGGGAUAUCUGUCUUUAAGUAGGGAUACAUUACUCUUAAAGAAAAUUUUAAAAAGAGAUUAUAGUUUUCCCUUCAAGUCAAGCAUCUUGU